GCGGGUAGCCGGAUGGCCGCGCACGGACGCCCGUGCGAGGAAAGUCCGGACUCCGCGAAGCAAGAGUGCCGGGUAACGCCCGGCCGGGGAAACCCGAGGGAAAGCGCCGCAGAAAACAAACCGCCUCGCAUGCGGGGCAAGGGUGAAACGGCGGGGUAAGAGCCCACCGCGUGGCCGGCGACGGCAACGGCACGGCAAGCCCCACUAGGAGCAAUGCCAAAUAGGGGUUCAGCGCGACGCUAUUCGCAUGGCGGCUUCGGCCGAUGAACCCGGGUAGGCAGCAUGAACGGCGAGGUAACCCGCCGUCAAGAUGAAUGGCCAUCCAUGGAGGCGUUCCCUCCAGGACAGAAUCCGGCUUAUAGGCUGCCCGCGCAU
rnacentral:RNase_P_RNA from 1 species